rnacentral:rRNA from 1 species
AUUGAACGCUGGCGGCAUGCUUUACACAUGCAAGUCGAACGGUAACAGUCCGCAAGGUUCUGACGAGUGGCUAACGGGUGGGUAAUUCAUCGGAACGUGCCCAGUCGUGGGGUCUAACUACUCGACAGAGUAGCUAAUCCCGCAUACGAUCUAUGGCUGAACGCGGUGGACCGUAAUUCCUCGCGCGUUUGGAUCGGCCUAUGUCAGAUUAGUUAGUUGUUGGGGUAAAGGCUCACCAUGCCAACGAUCUGUAGCUGGUCGGAGAGAACGACCAGCCACACGGGGACUGAGACACGGACCAGACGACUAAGGGAGGCAGCAGUGGGGAAUGUUGGACAAUGGGCGCAAGCAUGAUACAGCAAGGCAGCGUGUAGGAAGAAGGCCUUCGGGUAGUAAACAGCGUUUGUACGGAACGAAACGGCUCUGGUUAAUAACAGGGGAUAAUGACGGUACCGGAAGAAUAAGCACCGGCUAACUACGUG